UAGCUCCUCGGGAAUGCUGGGAAUGUUGAGUCAGGGACUGGCAACCUAGACAGCAAGGCUCGCAGCUGACUGAGGGAGACUCGCUGAGGGACAGAAAGACGAGGGACAGGAGCACACAAGCCUCCCCCGACUGCAGCAGGUUCCCUGUUUUCCUCCCCUCAUAGGGGUUCGUCGCUCCAGCUCUCCCUGCUGCCGCCUUCCUCCGUGCAAAUGAGAUGUCAGCUAAACGUGAUAUUGUAAAAUCCAUGUGAGGACGAAAGGCAGAUGCAAUGAUUUGAAAGGUCUCUGACUUCAAAGGAACAAUAGAUUUUUUUUUUGCCUACUGGAAGAAUGCAGUGAAACUGCCAAUAUUUCUAGCCGGAAAUAUAAAUUUAAUAUUCAACUUUAGUGUUACUAAUUUCUUACUAAACAGUACCUCAAAGUAGAAGAAAAAUGUAUGGAAGUGCAAGAACAAUCAGCAACUUAGAAGGAAGUCCUGCCAGGUCUCCUCGUUUGCCAAGAUCUCCUCGCCUGGGUCACAGGCGAACAAGUAGUGGAGGAGGAGGAACUGGUAAGACACUAUCAAUGGAGAACAUCCAGUCCCUUAAUGCAGCCUAUGCAACUUCUGGACCAAUGUAUCUGAGUGACCAUGAAGGUGUAGCUUCUACUACUUUCCCAAAGGGCACAAUGACUCUUGGAAGGGCUACAAAUCGAGCUAUGUAUGGUGGUCGAGUCACAGCUAUGGGGAGCAGUCCUAAUAUUGCUUCAGCCGGACUUUCGCACACAGAUGUCCUUUCUUAUAGUGAUCAGCAUGGAGGUCUGACCACAUCUUCACAUCAUCACCACCAUCAAGUUCCUUCUAUGCUGAGACAGGUUAGAGAUAGUACCAUGUUAGACCUGCAAGCUCAACUUAAGGAACUACAGAGGGAGAAUGAUCUUCUCAGAAAAGAACUCGACAUUAAGGACAGCAAGCUAGGAUCGUCCAUGAAUAGCAUCAAAACCUUCUGGAGCCCUGAGCUAAAGAAAGAAAGAGUAUUGAGGAAAGAAGAGGCAGCCAGAAUGUCAGUUCUUAAAGAACAAAUGAGAGUUUCUCAUGAAGAAAAUCAGUUUUUGGAUGCCAGGAGAACAAAGCAUCUGCAAAUGACAAUCCAGGCACUUCAAGAUGAGCUUAGAACCCAGAGAGACCUUAACCAUCUUCUUCAGCAAGAAAGCGGAAACCGAGGAGCUGAGCAUUUUACCAUUGAGCUCACGGAGGAGAAUUUUCGAAGACUUCAAGCAGAACAUGAUAGACAAGCUAAAGAGCUCUUCCUGUUGAGAAAAACACUAGAAGAAAUGGAGCUUAGGAUUGAAACACAAAAGCAAACACUAAAUGCCAGGGAUGAAUCAAUAAAAAAGCUUCUGGAAAUGUUGCAAAGUAAAGGUUUGCCAUCCAAAGGAAUGGAAGAUGACAAUGAGAGAACUCGAAGGAUGGCAGAGGCUGAAUCUCAGGUUAAUCAUUUAGAAGUGAUUUUAGAUCAGAAGGAGAAGGAAAACAUGCAUCUUAGAGAGGAAUUACAUAGAAGAACCCAGCUUCAGCCUGAGCCAGCAAAGACAAAGGCUCUUCAAACAGUUAUUGAAAUGAAGGAUACAAAAAUAGCUUCGCUUGAGCGCAAUAUAAGAGAUCUUGAAGAUGAAAUACAGAUGCUAAAGACAAAUGGAGUUCUGAAUACAGAGGACCGAGAAGAGGAAAUCAAACAAAUAGAAGUUUACAAGAGUCACUCAAAGUUCAUGAAAAAUAAGAUUGACCAACUGAAACAAGAACUCUCAAAGAAAGAAUCAGAACUUCUUGCCUUACAAACUAAGCUUGAAACCCUUAGCAAUCAAAAUUCAGAUUGCAAGCAACACAUAGAAGUGCUUAAAGAGUCUCUUACUGCCAAAGAACAGAGAGCUGCCAUACUUCAGACAGAGGUCGAUGCCUUGCGGUUGCGACUGGAAGAGAAAGAAACCUUUCUAAACAAAAAAACAAAACAACUUCAAGACCUCACAGAAGAGAAAGGAACCCUCGCUGGAGAGAUUCGAGAUAUGAAAGACAUGUUGGAAGUAAAAGAAAGAAAAAUAAAUGUCCUUCAGAAAAAGAUUGAAAAUCUACAGGAGCAACUUAGGGACAAAGACAAACAACUAACUAAUCUAAAAGACAGAGUGAAGUCUUUGCAGACGGAUUCUAGUAACACAGACACAGCACUAGCAACCUUAGAAGAAGCUCUAUCAGAAAAGGAAAGAAUAAUAGAACGCUUGAAGGAGCAAAGGGAGCGAGAUGACAGAGAAAGACUUGAAGAAAUUGAAUCUUAUAAAAAAGAAAACAAAGACCUGAAGGAGAAAGUUAAUGCUUUGCAAGCUGAACUGACAGAAAAAGAGUCUAGUUUAAUCGAUCUCAAAGAACAUGCAUCUUCAUUGGCAUCAGCAGGGCUGAAAAGAGACUCCAAACUUAAGUCUUUAGAAAUAGCCAUAGAACAAAAGAAGGAAGAGUGUAGUAAGUUGGAAGCACAGUUGAAAAAGCAAGCUGAACAGUUGUUCAAUCAGAUGUACAAUCCAAUGCCAAUUAAGAAUAAUGGGAAGCAAGGGGCUCAUGAGGCUGAAGAAGAGGCACGGAUGAAUCCAGAAUUUGCAGACAGAAUGAAACAGCUUGACAAGGAGGCGUCAUACUAUAGAGAAGAAUGUGGCAAAGCUCAGGCCGAGGUUGACAGACUUCUAGAAAUACUCAAGGAAGUAGAGAAUGAGAAGAAUGACAAAGAUAAGAAAAUCGCUGAGUUAGAAAGCUUGACUUCCAGACAUAUGAAGGACCAAAACAAGAAGGUUGCUAAUCUGAAACACAAUCAGCAAAUGGAGAAAAAGAAGAAUGCACAGUUGUUGGAGGAAGUUCGGAGACGAGAGGACAAUAUGACUGACAACUCUCAACAUUUACAAGUAGAAGAGUUGAUGAAUGCUCUGGAAAAGACUAGACAAGAAUUAGAUUCUACCAAAGCCCGUCUUGCCUCAACACAGCAGUCUUUGGCUGAAAAAGAAGCACAUCUGGCUAACCUGAGAAUAGAGCGAAGAAAACAGCUUGAAGAAAUUCUAGAAAUGAAGCAGGAAGCUUUGCUCGCUGCAAUUAGUGAAAAAGAUGCAAACAUUGCCUUGCUUGAACUGUCUGCUUCAAAGAAAAAGAAGACUCAGGAGGAAGUAAUGGCACUUAAACGAGAGAAGGACAGAUUAGUACAUCAGCUAAAACAGCAGACACAAAAUAGAAUGAAACUGAUGGCAGAUAACUAUGAUGAUGACCAUCAUCACUACCACCACCAUCACCACCACCACCAUCACCGAUCUCCUGGGAGGCCACAACACACCAACCACAGACCCUCUCCAGAUCAGGAUGAUGAGGAGGGUAUAUGGGCAUAGCCAUUCCUAUAAACCAAAGUUCCAGUUUUGUUUUGAGGGAUGAUCCAGUCACUGUUGGAGGCACAUAGCCACGGCAAAAUCUCAUGCUGUACAUUGAUCACCUGUCCAACCUUUGCCUAGAGUGUGAUCCCCAGUUCCUUCAAGAGAUCCAUCUUUACCUGUCUAUAAAGAAGAAGAGGAGGAGGGAGACAUCUGGGAUAUUCAAGUAUCAAAGUUGAACACCAGAGCAGUUGUCAGAGGAACUAGCGAAAGAGGAAGAAAAAAAAUGUAGUACUGGAAUAUAAUGAUGAUAAUCUAUUGCAUUGGAUCUCCAAACAUGAUCAUGACAUCCUGGAGAAGAUCACAGAUGCAGAAAAUGAACACUACAGUUGAUAGCUACUGAAAUGCUGCAUUAAUUGGCAUUUGCUCCAUUUUUUUUUCUUGUAGUCUACUAUGAAAUUAGAUACUUUGGAAAAUAUUGAAGGAGACUCAAGCAGAAAUUAUAACAACUUCAUUUCUGUCUUUAAUGGGUCUUGCAAGUUAGUCUGUUUUCACAAAGACACCAUCUAUCCAGAAUAUUGCAGUUUAACAAAGUUCAGUUAAACAGGUUAUUUAAGUUUUGGUAUAUCAAUAUUGAUUUCAGUAAGUAAUUCAGAUUCUUUUAGAUGUGGUAUCUGCACUUGCCAAUUUUACCUAGUCGAUUCUAAAGGAUCACUUCUAUUGCACUAGAUUAUCAAAGAGGUAUUAGUAAAAUGCUAUAUAAGGGCGUUGGCGUUAAUCUUGCCCCCAAGUAGAUAUGGGCUUUUCCAAAAACCUAGAAACCAAGCCUUUACCCUCCUCUCUUUUCUUAUAUCUACUGAUAGAAUACUACUACUUAAAAAAAAAAACAACAAACCAAAACAAAAUCAAACACAAACCACAAACCAAACCCCAAAAAACAU